UACGUAGGGUGCGAGCGUUAAUCGGAAUUACUGGGCGUAAAGAGCGCGCAGGCGGUCGUUCAAGUCGAGUGUGAAAGCCCCCGGCUCAACUGGGGAGGGUCAUUCGAUACUGAUCGACUCGAAGGCAGGAGAGGGAAGCGGAAUUCCCGGUGUAGUGGUGAAAUGCGUAGAUAUCGGGAGGAACACCAGUGGCGAAGGCGGUUGCCUGGAGCUUUGCUGACGCUGAGGCGCGAAAGCGUGGGGAGCGAUCCGG
rnacentral:rRNA from 1 species